GACGAACGCUGGCGGCGUGCUUAACACAUGCAAGUCGAACGGAAAGGCCCUGCUUUUGUGGGGUGCUCGAGUGGCGAACGGGUGAGUAACACGUGAGUAACCUGCCCUUGACUUUGGGAUAACUUCAGGAAACUGGGGCUAAUACCGGAUAGGAGCUCCUGCUGCACGGUGGGGGUUGGAAAGUUUCGGCGGUUGGGGAUGGACUCGCGGCUUAUCAGCUUGUUGGUGGGGUAGUGGCUUACCAAGGCUUUGACGGGUAGCCGGCCUGAGAGGGUGACCGGCCACAUUGGGACUGAGAUACGGCCCAGACUCCUACGGGAGGCAGCAGUGGGGGAUAUUGCACAAUGGGCGGAAGCCUGAUGCAGCAACGCCGCGUGCGGGAUGACGGCCUUCGGGUUGUAAACCGCUUUCGCCUGUGACGAAGCGUGAGUGACGGUAAUGGGUAAAGAAGCACCGGCUAACUACGUGCCAGCAGCCGCGGUGAUACGUAGGGUGCGAGCGUUGUCCGGAUUUAUUGGGCGUAAAGGGCUCGUAGGUGGUUGAUCGCGUCGGAAGUGUAAUCUUGGGGCUUAACCCUGAGCGUGCUUUCGAUACGGGUUGACUUGAGGAAGGUAGGGGAGAAUGGAAUUCCUGGUGGAGCGGUGGAAUGCGCAGAUAUCAGGAGGAACACCAGUGGCGAAGGCGGUUCUCUGGGCCUUUCCUGACGCUGAGGAGCGAAAGCGUGGGGAGCGAACAGGCUUAGAUACCCUGGUAGUCCACGCUGUAAACGGUGGGUACUAGGUGUGGGGUCCAUUCCACGGGUUCCGUGCCGUAGCUAACGCUUUAAGUACCCCGCCUGGGGAGUACGGCCGCAAGGCUAAAACUCAAAGGAAUUGACGGGGCCCCGCACAAGCGGCGGAGCAUGCGGAUUAAUUCGAUGCAACGCGUAGAACCUUACCUGGGUUUGACAUGGAUCGGGAGUGCUCAGAGAUGGGUGUGCCUCUUUUGGGGUCGGUUCACAGGUGGUGCAUGGCUGUCGUCAGCUCGUGUCGUGAAAUGUUGGGUUAAGUCCCGCAACGAGCGCAACCCUUGUUCACUGUUGCCAGCACGUUAUGGUGGGGACUCAGUGGAGACCGCCGGGGUCAACUCGGAGGAAGGUGGGGAUGACGUCAAGUCAUCAUGCCCCUUAUGUCCAGGGCUUCACGCAUGCUACAAUGGCUGGUACAGAGAGUGGCGAGCCUGUGAGGGUGAGCGAAUCUCGGAAAGCCGGUCUCAGUUCGGAUUGGGGUCUGCAACUCGACCUCAUGAAGUCGGAGUCGCUAGUAAUCGCAGAUCAGCAACGCUGCGGUGAAUACGUUCCCGGGGCU
rnacentral:rRNA from 1 species